AUGCUUUUAUGGUUCUUCUUACCUGGUUCCCAAGAGAAGGAACCACUUGGUGUACGAUCCACUGGGAGUCGACGACACCGAUUUUCUCAUGAGCAGGCUGCUAAGAGUAAAUACGUUAAUCGUAGAUAUAGAGAUAAGAUGUUCGAGAGCUAUUUAAAUGAUUAUAGUGUUAGGAGUGGACGUAGUCAGAAAUAUAUCAAUGUUUUGACAAGGGCAUGUGGUUCAUACCUCCACACAUUUCCUCAGAGCAAAAUCCAGACCCCAUCCAUGAACCAAGUCAUUCUGCAACAAAAAGGGGAUGUUAACCACAUGAGGUGCAAAUGUAAUAAGAAAUUAGAUGGUGGAAAUAUGCUAUACCUGAAUCAUAUGCCAUACACAUCUCCAUGCAUCUCUGGAGAAGACCGGAGCCAUAAUUUCAACAAAACUGCACAUCAAACAUAUACAGUUAGGCCCUUUUCCACGUAUAUCAGCAACCAAAGUAACACAAGUCAGCUGCGGAGGGCAAAAUACAUACGCAGCGCAUGGUGGAAGAUGAGGAUCCGUGCACCAGCCUGGCCUCUCCUCAGUAUCCCUGUUAAAACGAAACCACCAACCAGGUAG
rnacentral:rRNA from 1 species